CGGGGCAUAGCGCAGCUUAGUAGCGCGCCUGCUUUGGGAGCAGGAGGUCGUGGGGGCGGAGCCCACUGCCCCGACCA
rnacentral:tRNA from 1 species